rnacentral:lncRNA from 1 species
GAAAAUGUAAAUUAAUAACACUGGAAAUAGUGUACAGCCAAAACAAUCACAGAUCAAAGGACCAAAGUGGUUAAAAAUCAGACACAAAACUCUUAUUCUCUCACAUUUUAAUGGUUACACUUUUCUUCUAGUUAAAUAGUGUUCCUGGGUCUUCAAUUUGGGAGCUGUUCGAGAAAGACAUUACAGUUGUGCAUGGUUCUGGCGUCAAGAAGGCCAUGGUUCCACAGUUUAACCAUAAACAUUCUCCAACACCUACACAAGUUCUCACCUUUAUCAACAACAACAACAGAAAAAAAACAUUUUCUUCUAUGAAACACUUGUCAAACCAAGCCAUGCAGGAAAUGAGAGUUGAAUUACCAGAUCAAAUGCGGUAUUCGAACCAUGAUGGAGCCGUGCAAUCUUGAAAACGCUUCACAUGCCCAUGGAAUGUGACCAUCUGCUAAUACUCUGCAAAGGGUCAAAAUCUAGUGUCAAGGUAAUGCUAAUCCUGAGAUAAUCUUUUAUCAGUGUUCUUUUUCUCUUUUUUUUAUCAAAAUAACUCGUGCAAUAAGACACUAUUACACAUGUUAUCCACAAACUAUUUACGCAUGUUACGCUAAAUUUGUUUACAGUAAGACUCGACAUAUAUCUACUGAAAAGAGAUAAGACAUACCGCUGCUUCCUCACAAACGAGUUCCACAUAUGCAUCAUCUGCUUCUCAUCCUUGGUCACAUCAAUGAAAUCGUCAAGCAUCUGAAAGAAAGUAAAGUUUCAAAUAGUAAAAAGAAGAAAAACGGUAUACUGUAAACUAUUGUCAGAAGAUGGAACCGACAACCAAACAGAGACGUCAUUUCUAGAAAAGAAUGUUAGCAUAUUCUGGUUCGGACCAUGAGGUUUGCUCACAUAUUUUGUUAAUGAAUCUCUACCAUACUAUAUAACAACAAUUUUCCUACGAAGUUCGGUAGUUUGGUAGAUAUAUGCUUCUUGUGAAAAGGGAAAGGAAUAUGGAAGACUAGCUGCAUAGGCAUCCCAACUCCCAGUUAAACGUAAGUACGCUAAUGUGGUUAAGUUCUAAAACAUUACCCUUCUAUCUUCAAAAUCUGCCACAUCAUCAUCAACUUCAUCUUCACUAUCUCUGUCAGAAAGUACUUGUUCUAGAGCCAUGGGCUGCGAUAGCACACACAGUAGAAAUCAAAAUCAGUUGCGAUCUUCAUAAGCAAGAGAGAUAAAAGUAGAAAUAGAUCGAUCACCUGAGCUCGAUGAGAGUGAAAGAACUCUCUCUUCUGAAGGAGGCUACGGCUGGAGGAGAUUAAAAACAAUUGAAAAAUUCAGCCACAUAAUUUGGGAUGAGCAAGCUACUAGUAUUAGUAGUAAUAUAACUAGGACAGAAAAUCAAACAUACUUCCUCAAUUCCGACCGUUCAAUAGAUAGCUUCCUCGUUUUUGCAAAUUGCAACAUCGUACUUCCAACCAUCGACUGCACAGAAUCUGGAUCAACACAUGAUUGCACGUCUGCAGGACUCGUGCCAGGAGGAACUCUUUGACCAGAAGACUCAGCAACCCCAAUUCUUUCGCAAUGCUUUCCAGGAGCUAUUCGGUUCUUCUCACAUCUAACCGAAUGAGCAUCUGAAAAUAAACAUUAAAACAGACAGGCUUUCAUGGUAUGAUGGAGAAAGAAGCCAGUGAACAUUUUAACAAAACAGUGAUUAUCUUUUAUCUAAUAUAAUAGUUACAUUACAUAUUAAUCUCAAAGUUUAUAAGAAAAAAUGAAUAACCAUACAUGUUGCAUAUUGUGCUUUAACAUGAAUUUGUUAGCAGAAGCUUUAAACCCAAUAUAAAAAUUCGGAGACGGAGAAAUCGUAAACCAAAAAAGAAGCACAAUCAUCUGAAAAGUAAAACUUAUUGCCAAAAUACAUUAAAAAGGUAGAAUGCAGCAAAACAUAUCAGAAAGCAAAAGAGUUAAAAGACACAGACACUCUAUAAUUAUUUAUUUUAGAUAAGAAACUAAAUUACAGAACAAAAUGAAGAAGAAAUCAUAAAAUUUUGUUCACCAACUCUUCUUCAUCUGCCUCUUGAAGCCAAUUCACAAAUGGAUUUAGGCUUUUGACAAUGGUUUGCCUGCAACAUCCACCAAGAGAAAAAUAAACAUCCGAUUAAUGCAGGUCUGGAUAACUGUUGUUUAGAAACCAGCUUUAUAUAUGAUGUGUAUUAUAUAGUGUUAUGGAACUAACAUGCCCUUUGCGUUGUUUCCUUUAUGGAACAAGUUGAGGAUGGUGGCUUAAGCGAGGACAUCAAGUUCAUAUAGUGACCUCCUCUCAUAAGCUUUGCAUCCUCGAAGAACUGCAUUUGGACUUUGUACAUUAGCUCCAGAAUUCCUCUACGGAACACGUUCAGAAGUGGUGUCCACGUUUUAACAGGCUUGAAGCCGUAGAAGAACAUCUGCAACAGUUAGAAACUAUUUUGCCUCGUUUGCAUACCAAAAAGGCAAACAUUUUCUUAUAAUCAUAAAGAACUGAUUCUUUUUUAGGAAGGGAAGAGAGAUUACAUAUAAGACAUCACCAAGUUUGGCAACUUGGGAGGCAAAGCAGACACUUAAUGGCUCUAAUUCUGUUAAAGAUAAUCUGCAUAAUCAGUGAAAGCGUCUUUUAGAAAUCCGAAGAACCCUGAAACAAAUUGUGGAGAAAGAAAAGCUGAAGAAAGCAUUUAUUUUUUCAGAGAACUCCAAAGACAUUGUUGAAAUCACUCACUGUUGCAAUAGCGGAAUGGUAAAUAUGCACACAAACAAUCCCAGAUUUUGGGGUUAAAUAAUCGAAGAGGCAGAUGCAAAAAUAGUUUUAGUAUGUUCCUCCAGUAUGAGUUCAUCAAAUCAUAAACAUCUGUAACUCACCUAAUCACUGAAACCAAAAUCACCGAUCUUCCACAUAUUCCAUGUUAUGGAAACCUAACUAUCAUAUGCUUUCAGUAUGACUUUCCAUUGACCACCAAGAUAUCAUCAUCCCCAAGAUCAAACGUCCUCAUCGCAUCCUUAGAUGCGGAUAACAAAGAAACACGUGUGUUCAUCGGCAUCCGAUGAGUUUGAGAAUGGAAAACCUGAUAAUCAACAAAGAUCAUGUCGACACCCAUCAACUCUCCACUUUUAAUGUUUCUGGCUUCCCAGAACCGGAGCAGCUCCACCUCCAUGGUGGAAGAACAACGUUUCUAUUGCUAUUGGAACUGUGAGGAUGGUUCUCAAAAGAUGAGGUCUUACAUUUUUAUAGGUGUAGAUACACAGCUUGAAGAUGAUAAGAAUCAUUAAAUGAGGGAUCGUUAAUGGCAUUGAAUCAAUGUAGGUUGUAACACCAGUGAGGAGAUGAAGUGAUACCGAAGUACAUGAAGAGAUGGCGAUCCGACAGAGACGCGAUGAUUAGAGACAGAGACUCAUCAAUCUGAUACUCUCAUAACUUCCAUUGAUGGUAGACCUCAAAUUACGCAGGAGAGGAUGAACCCUAUAGUUUUACGGCAGCUACAUAGUGAAGGUGCUACAUGGGCCAAAGUUGUGUUUGUUUGUCAGCCCAAAUAACUAUACUAAAAUCUUCUUAAAUAAUUGUCAAAAUCGAGAAAUUGUACUUUGAGUGAGACAAGUGUCACUCUCUCAUUGCUCUAUUUAAUGAUGUGGCAUCACUAGGAAUGAGACAAAAUCUUCUUAAUUAGAAUCUUAUAGUUUUACGGCAUCUACAUAAUGAAUGUGCUACAUAUGCCAAAAUUGUGUUUGUUUGUCAGCCCAAAUAACUAUACUAAAACCUUCUUAAAUAAUUAUCAGAAUCGAGAAAUUGUAAUUUGAGUGAGACAAAUGUCACUCUCUCCUUGCCCUAUUUAAUGAUGUGACAUCACCAGGAAAGAGACAAAGUCUUCUUAAUUAAAAUCUUAUAGUUUUACGGCCGCUACAUAGUGAAAGUGCUACAUGGGCCAAGAUUGUGUUUGUUUGUCAACCUAAAUAACUAUACUAAAACAUUCUUAAAUAAUUAUCAAAAUCGAGAAAUUGUAAUUUGAGUGAGAUAGGUGUCACUCUCUCUUUGCCUUAUUUAAUGAUGUGGCAUAACCAGGAAAGAGACAAAAUCUUCUUAAUUAGAACUCUAUAGUUUUACAAUCGCUACAUAGUGAAACACUACAAGAAAACGUAUCUUUACCGAGGAAGUUUAACGAGGAAAAAUAAUCCUCGUAAAAAAACGUUGAUUUUGCGAGGAAAGUACGUUGAGAAAGAAAAGCAUCGUUAUUUCGUCGUAAGUUAACGACAAAAAAUAUUCGUCGUAAAGACGAUGUAAAUUGACGUGGCUUUUACGAGGAAAUAGUUUUUCCUCGUAAAAUCCACGUAAAUUUCGCGAGUGCUUUACGACGAAAUAUUUUACGUGUACUUAACGAGGAAAUUUUGAAUCCACCAACUUGGUAGGUGGCUCACGUUUUUUUUUGGCCAUACAAUUAAUUUUCGUCGUAAUUUCAUAGUAAAAUUACAACUACCAGAUUCGAAAUUUUCUAUAAAUAUGGAUGUUGGAACAUCAUUUUAAACACACCAACAACAAAAAACGUGAAAGAAAAAAAAAUGGCUGGCUCUGGGACUAUUUACGAGUUGCGGAAUUGGAUGUAUAUGCAUAGAGAUGCUAACGGGAGAGUGACGAAAGAAUACCUUGCGGGGCUGGAGACAUUUAUGCACCAAGCAGAUUCAACACCGCUCGCCCAAGAAAGUGGUAAGAUGUUCUGUCCUUGUCGGAAAUGCAACAAUUCGAAAUUGGCAAACCGUGAAAAUGUUUGGAAGCAUUUAAUAAAUAGAGGUUUCACGCCAAAUUACUAUAUCUGGUUUCAACAUGGGGAAGGUUAUAAUUAUGAUCAGAAUGAAGCUAGUAGUAGUAAUAGCAAUUUUCAGGAAGAACCGGUUAAUCAUCAUUUGCAUAAUGAACAUAGUUACCAUCAGGAGGAGAUGGUAGAUUAUGAUAGGGUUCAUGAUAUGGUAGCUGAUGCAUUCGUAGCUCAUGAUGAAGAUGAAGAACCUAAUAUAGAUGCAAAAAAGUUUUACGGAAUGUUAAACGCGGCGAAUCAACCACUUUACAGUGGUUGUAGAGAAGGUCUCUCUAAAUUGUCGUUGGCUGCUAGAAUGAUGAAUAUUAAAACUGAUCACAAUCUACCUGAAAGUUGCAUGAACGAAUGGGCGGACUUGUUUAAAGAGUAUUUGCCGGAAGACAAUGUGUCUGCUGAUUCUUAUUAUGAGAUUCAGAAAUUAGUUUAUAGUCUUGGGUUGCCUUCGGAGAUGAUAGAUGUCUGCAUCGACAACUGCAUGAUCUAUUGGGGAGAUGAUGAGAAGCUAGAAGUAUGUCGAUUCUGCAAGAAGCCACGAUUCAAGCCGCAAGGACGGGGACGUAAUAGGGUACCGUACCAAAGGAUGUGGUACCUACCAAUUACAGACAGAUUGAAAAGAUUGUAUCAAUCAGAGCAGACUGCUGCAAAGAUGAGAUGGCAUGCCGAGCAUACUCAGACGGAUGGUGAGAUGACUCAUCCAUCAGAUGCAAGAGCCUGGAAACAUUUCAACAAAGUACAUCCGGAUUUUGCUAGCAAUAGCCGGAAUGUGUAUCUCGGAUUAUGCACAGAUGGAUUUAGUCCGUUCGGAAUGUCAGGGAGACAAUAUUCAUUGUGGCCAGUCUUUCUUACGCCAUACAACCUGCCACCGGAGAUGUGCAUGCAACGGGAGUUGCUAUUCUUGACGAUAUUGAUACCUGGUCCGAACCAUCCAAAAAGGUCCCUGGAUGUUUUCUUACAACCACUGAUAAAAGAGUUGAAGGAUUUGUGGUCAACAGGGGUGAGGACGUAUGACUGUUCAACGAAGACGAAUUUUACGAUGCGAGCUAUGCUUUUGUGGACCAUAAGUGACUUUCCUGCAUAUGGGAUGUUGUCUGGAUGGACUACACAUGGGAGAUUAGCUUGUCCAUAUUGUAAUGGAACGACAGAUGCGUUUCAACUGAAGAAUGGUAGGAAGACAAGUUGGUUUGAUUGUCAUCGUCGAUUUCUUCCCAUUGGCCAUCCUUACCGAAGAAACAAGAAUUUGUUUAGGCACAAAAGGGUUGUGAGAGACACUUCUCCACCAUAUCUAACUGGAGAACAAAUUGAAGCACAAAUCGACUACUACGGAGCUAACGAAACAGUUCGUUGGGGUGGUAAUUGGCAUGUCCCUCGUAAUAUGCCUGAUUCUUACGGUGUUCAUCACAACUGGCACAAGAAGAGUAUAUUUUGGGAGUUGCCAUAUUGGAAGGAUCUUCUUCUGCGCCACAACCUCGAUGUGAUGCAUAUAGAGAAGAAUUUCUUUGAGAACAUCAUGAUUGAUGUAUUUGACAUCCUUCUCAUUGAUCCGCAUAAUCACGAAUACGAAGAUCUUACCGAUGAUGCCACAGACGAAGCUGUAGAAGACGAGUUUAAUGAAAAUGAUGAUAUUUCUAGUGAUGACGAGAAUGUCGAUGUAUCCGAUUGAUGUAUUUGAUUUUGUGUAGUUUGUUUUAUGAAUAAGGUAAUGUGAGAGUUUGUUUUAUGAAUAAGGUAAUGUGGGAGUUUGUUUUAUGAAUAAGAAAUUGUGGGAGUUUGUUUUAUAAAUAAGUAAAUGUGGGAAUUGUGGUUUGGAAUGAAAAUAAAGAUGGGGUUUGGAAUAUAUGAAGUAGAAGAUAAGGAAUAUGGGUUUUGGGGUUUGGGGUUUCGGAUUUUAGGGAAUUAAAGGUACUGCUCGUUAAUUCCUCGUAACCUGACGUCGAAUGUACGACGUAAUCCUCGUUUAUUCCACGUAGGACAGAAUCGUCGUAAAGACCUCGUAAUGUAAAUUGACGUAAAUGCCACGUAAAGUAAAUGACGAAGGAGGAACUCGUUUAUUCCACGUAGGAAAGAAUCGUCGUAAACACCUCGUAAGGUAAAUUGACGUAAAUACCACGUAAAGUAAAUGACGAAGAAGGCACUCUUUAAUUCCACGUAGGAUGAUUUCGUCGUAAACACCUCGUAAGGCCACGAGGACUUUACGACGAAAUUAAAAAAGCGGGGCACGCUAAUUCCACGUAGGAUGAUUUCGUCGUAAACACCUCGUAAGGCCACGAGGACUUUACGACGAAAUUAAAAAAGCGGGGCACGCUAAUUCCACGUAAGCCAAAAUCGUCGUAAAAGAGUCGUAAACUAACGACGAUAUUACGACGAAAAUAUUAAAAAUACUAAAAAAAAGAAGAGAAGAAAGAUGCUUGAAUCACAUUUGGCGAGACUUACGUAAGUCUCGACCACAUGAGUUCCAAAUAUCUUCUUCUCUUCUUUUUUUUUCCAAAUUUUCUAAAUUGGUGAAAAGCGGGACUUGCUACUUCCUCAUAGUAUAAAAACUAGAAAAAAAAAAAAAGAAAGAUACUGGAAUUAUAUGUGGCGAGACUUAAGUCUCACCCACAUAAAUUCUAAUAUCUUCUUUUCUUCUUUUUUUUUUCAAAUAUUUCUAAUUUGAAAAGUAUUUUGGUGAGGAGUGUGAUUUGAGAUAGGGUGUGUUUUGUGAGUUUGUGUGUGUGGUUUGAGAAGGAAAGUUGUGGGUAUUUAUAGAAAAUAAAGGCUCGCUAAUUCCUCGUAACUGGUUAACUCGUUAAUUCCACGUAACCCUUUUCGUCGUAAAAACGUCGUUAACGAAAACGCGGGCCUUUGUAUUUCGUCGCUAUUUCGUCGUAACUGAAAACGCGGGCCUCUGUAAUUCCUCGUAAGUUUACGAGGAAUUUACGAGGACAAGUAAUCUUAUAUAUAUCCCGAGCGAGCUCGCUCCGUCUUUCCUCUCUACUUCCUCUCCACUUCCUCCCUAAUUCGUAGCAAUGGUAAGUCUCUCUAAUUCCUCUCUAGUUUGAUUAGUUUAGGAUAGAUUAGGUGGUUAGUAUAGGGAAUUUAGAUAGGUUUACGGAUCUUAUGUUAUUUAGUGUUGAUUAGGUGGAUAAUGUUGGGAAGUAUAUGUUCACGAAAAUUUAAAAAAUUAAAUUUUUUUCUCAGGUUCGAAAAGGUAGACUUACUGCCCAUUACAGAGAGAUGUGUUGGUGAGCCGGGUAGUCGUUUAGACCCGUCGUCUUCUUCAGCUCCCGGUUCUUCGGGUCAGGAGACUGUCCCCGAGACUCAGUACACUCAGAGAGUCAUUGGAUCUCCUUCUUCUAGUGCACCAUCGGUUCUUCACGUGCCUCCCCAGAUGCCUCCUCCUCCUCCUGUGCCUCCUACGAUGCCGGCACCUCCGAUGCCCGCGGCGAGAUUCAUCCCGAUUUGAUGGUGCCUCCGAGUGCUCCUUACUCGCAGUACACCGUAGAGGACAUUCUCCGUCUGCCAGGCAGAGAAGGUUUACCAGUCAUCGACCCCGACCGACCGGACGGAACUUUAUGGUAUGUUUCAUUAUUUUUUUAUUCUUUUUAAAUUCUUUUAUAACUUUAAAAAAUAAUUUAUAUUUUAAAUUUGUAUUUUUCAGGUGGGGGAUUGACGGAUGUCUUGCAUCGGACGUAACCGAUACGAUAAAAGGUUACUUCUCCAUGGCACAUCCGAACUGGAAAAUGACGCCCCACUACGUCAGAAAGACGUGGUUCAAAAUUUACGCUGUAAGUUCUAUUAAUUAAAUAUAUAUCUUUAAAUUUUUUUAUUAUUUAUAUAUAUAUUUUUUUCUAAAAAACUAAUUAUAAAUUAUUUUUUCCAACAGCAAAAAUAUAAUUGGGCCUUGGGGAUCACUGAGAGGGUGAGAAAGAAGUUUGAAGCGAAGGCGAAAGUUCGCUUGUUGGACACGGUCUCCAACUGGAAGGGUGACUGGAUCGUGAAGGGGUAUGAGCGUGGCAAACCCGCUGAGCUCACCACGGAUGUCUGGGAUGGCCUCAUCCGAUAUUGGCGUCUUCCUGAUUCCAUUAGAAUCGCCCAGUCUUGCUCUAACUCCCGUAACACAGUCGAUGAGCACGGGAACGGGCCGAUGCUUCACACUACGGGCCAAAAACCCCACGCCGGUGUCCGUUUGGAAAUGGUAAUUAAAAAUUUAAUUAUAUUAAAUUUUUAGUAUAUUUUUAUAUAUAUUCUAAUUAACAACUUUCUUAAAUGUUUUUUUAGGCCAAAGAGACGGGAGAAUUCCCGUCUCUUAUGCAACUUUACGAGAGGACCCACAAGAACAAGGCGGGCCGAUUUAUAGAUGGCAAGUCCGAGCAAAUCUACAACGAUUUGGCUGCUCGGGUUGAAGAACGCCAGACCCAGCUGACCCAACAGUCCACCGAUGGAUUACCCGUCACCUUAUCCACACCUGAAGUGGAUAAGCUUUACGAGGAGGUAAAUUUUCUAAAAUUUUAAUUUUUUUAAAUAUUCAUUUAAUUUAACUUUAAAUUUUUACUAACAAAAUUUAUUUUUUGUUUUUAAGGUUGUCCCUAAAAAAAAGGGACGGACGUUGGGGAUUGGUUCCGUCAACGAUGUUCCGAGAGCGACAUCGUCUUAUGUUCAGCGACGGGAUGAGGAAGUCUCUCAGCUGCGUAGGGAGUCCGAAGAGCUGCGUAGAGAGUCUACUCAGCUGCGUAUAGAGUCUACUCAGCUCCGAUCUCGUAUGGGUGGACUCGAGGGCUUCUUGGACGUUGUAGCGGCCACAAAUCCGGAAUGGGCGACUUUGUUGAGGACCAUGCGACAACAAAAUCCUAUCCCAGGCCAGUCACCGACCGACGACUCACAUGCCGAGGCGGAUGUUCAGGCGAGGAGUGAUGAAUUCUACGAGGCGAUUAAUUAACGACCACCCUUAGUUCUUUUUAAUUUCGGUUAUUGUAUUAUGAAUUCAAAACUUAUUUCUAUAUAAAAUAUUUUGGUUUUGAUUUUUUUAGAAUUUUAAUUUUAUUAAUAAUUUAAAUUAUAUUUAUAAUUAUAUUUAUAAUUAUAAUUUUUUAUAUUUCUAUAAAAUAAUGAAACGAAGUAAAUUCGUAGCUAAUUUUGCGGCUUCUUUACGUGGAAGCUUAACGUGGUUUUUACGAGGAAACAUUUACAUGGAAAUAACGUGGAAAUCUAUCAAGGUUUUUACGUUUUCUUUACGUGGAAAGCUCUCAAGGUAUUUACGUUAAUUUUACGAGUAUUUAUUUACGUGGGUUUUACGAGGAAAGCUUUUCGUGGUAUUUACGAGGAAACUUAGCGACGUCCUUACGUGGAAUCUUUACGUGGUCUUUACGACGAAAUAUCCUCCUUCGCUUUUACGACGAAAUUAUUUCCUCGCUAACUUACGACGAAUUAGCGAGGAUAUAUGCGUUACGACAAACGUAUAACGACGAAACGCGUUUCCUCGCUAAUUCGUCGUAACACUGCUUUUACGACGAAGUAACGAGGAAAACUGCCCUCGUAAAACUUGUGUUUUCUUGUAGUGAAAGUGCUACAUGGGCCAAGAUUGUGUUUGUUUAUCAGCUCAAAUAACUAUACUAAAACCUUUUUAAAUAAUUAUUAUAACCGAAAAAUUGUAAUUUGAGUGAGACAGAUGUCACUUUCUCCUGGCAUCACCAGAGAGAGACAAAGUCUUCUGACCGUAAGAUUUAUGUCCUUAACAAGAUGUAACUUUCAAUCCGACAUAAUUUUGUCAUAUGGCCUUUACCUAAUAAGUUCGUAGUAGUAUUUGCUAAGAAAACAUAAUCUAAUGGACAACUUUAUCAAUGGUAUAAAGGAUCCAACUGAAUAAAGGAGAAUGGAUUAGUAAAAGCCUCUAAUUAAAACAAAGAAGAAAUUAAGAACGAAUAGUAGUAAUUAAAUAGAAGAAAAUCCUAAUAAAUCAAAGAAUUCAUGCUACAAGAUCCAUCAUCGCUCAUCAGAUUUUGUCUUGAUGGUCGAUUCCAAGGGUUUUGAACGUAAAAUAACGCAAAUCUUCGAGAAGAGCACAAAAGAGACCAUGCCCCAGCCACUUUUGAUUAGAAACCUCAACACAGCAAGGCCCGGGUUGGUUUGGUUCUGAGCUUAAUUGUCGUUAGGUGUUGAUGCGCCACAAAGGAAGUAGAACAAGAAAAGAAGAACUUUGUGAUCUGACGCAGCAACUUUGAAUUCAUUAAGUUGCCAAUCUCGAAUAUGUUUCUUGUAAGGGAAGGACGAAACUAGAAACACAAUGAUGGUCACAAUGAAUGGUAACACGAUCAUAAAAUCAAGAGGAUCUUCCUGCUCCUUCAAGAGUUUAACCAAAGCCUCGAUCAUCGUUCGAGAGAGCCUUCCCUUUGUAAAAUACUGAUGGCCCUUUUAUAUGAUUUAACUGAAUAGUUAUUACCAUAUAUCCGGUGAAAUUAUCUUUAUGACAAAAGUUAUAUUGCCAAAUCUAUUAUGUAAGGGAAAUUAAUAACUCUAGAAUAAAAAAUGUAAACUAACAAAACCCAAAACGAAAAGAAGAAAUACUUAAUAUGAAUAAAAAUGUAAAUUAAUAACACCCUAAACGAAAAACUAAAUAUUGUAAAUUAAUAUAACUCCUAAAUAAAAAAAAUGUGAACUAAUAAAUAAUGUAAAUUAACAUAAUCCUGGAUAAGAAAAUCCAGCUCUUGUUUCUUUGUUUUAUUUUUCUUACAAGUCAUAUUCUUCUUGUUGGUUGUGUUUGUAUACUCAGUUCUGUUGUAGAUCUCUCAGUCUCAGUUGUUAUAUUAAGUUGACUUGAUUAUUGGCGUAGCUUUCACGUUUAGCUAUGAUUGUGCUAGAAAUGCCCACAGAUGUCAAGGGAUAAGUCAGAGAUGAGUUUUGGGAUUUGUAUAAGAAUUGCUUCCACCAGAGAGACCUGGAAGGAAGUCUACGGUUCUGUAUCGUCCAAAGCCACCACCAGCUCCAAAGCUUAAGAACAAUAAUAAACAUAGACGAAACCAGCAUUGAACUAACUUUGUGAGAGAAAUUCACUGUUGUGUUAAUUAGUGUUCUUUUGGCCUAAAGUAGUGCACUUAGAUUCACUCAGAAAAAAAUGAUCCUCUCAAAGUCAAAUCAAUAGAAGGAUUAUGUGUUAAAAAAAAAAACAUAAUCCUGGAUAAGAAAAUGUAAAUUAAUAACACUGGAAAUAGUGUACAGCCAAAACAAUCACAGAUCAAAGGACCAAAGUGGUUAAAAAUCAGACACAAAACUCUUUUCUCUCACAUUUUAAUGUUUACACUUUUCUUCUAGUUAAAUAGUGUUCCUGGGUCUUCAAUUUGGGAGCUGUUCGAGAAAGACAUUACAGUUGUUCAUGGUUCUGGCGUCAAGAAGGCCAUGGUUCCACAGUUUAACCAUAAACAUUCUCCAG